rnacentral:rRNA from 1 species
GGCCGCGGGAAUUCGAUUUACCUUGUUACGACUUCACCCCAGUCAUGAAUCACUCCGUGGUAAACGUCCUCCCGAGGGUUAGACUAUCUACUUCUGGAGCAACCCACUCCCAUGGUGUGACGGGCGGUGUGUACAAGGCCCGGGAACGUAUUCACCGCGUCAUUCUGAUACGCGAUUACUAGCGAUUCCGACUUCAUGGAGUCGAGUUGCAGACUCCAAUCCGGACUACGACGCACUUUAAGUGAUUCGCUUACUCUCGCGAGUUCGCAGCACUCUGUAUGCGCCAUUGUAGCACGUGUGUAGCCCUACACGUAAGGGCCAUGAUGACUUGACGUCGUCCCCACCUUCCUCCGGUUUAUCACCGGCAGUCUCCUUAGAGUUCUCAGCAUUACCUGCUAGCAACUAAGGAUAGGGGUUGCGCUCGUUGCGGGGACUUAACCCAACAUCUCACAACACGAGCUGACGACAGCCAUGCAGCACCUGUAUCAGAGUUCCCGAAGGCACCAAANCAUCUCUGGUAAGUUCUCUGUAUGUCAAGUGUAGGUAAAGGUUCUUCGCGUUGCAUCNAAAUUAAAACCCACAUGCUUCCACCCGCUUGUGCGGGGCCCCCCGUCCAAUUCACUUUGAGGUUUUUAAACCUUNGCGGNCCGGNACUCCCCCANGCGGGUCCNAACUUUAAUGGGGUUANACUUUUGAAAAACAAGAAACCGAAGGUUCCCGAAACNUUCUAAN